rnacentral:rRNA from 1 species
UACAGAGGUCCCAAGCGUUGUUCGGAUUCACUGGGCGUAAAGGGUGCGUAGGCGGUCGGGUAAGUCUGAUGUGAAAUCUCACAGCUUAACUGUGAAACUGCAUUGGAUACUAUUCGGCUUGAGAGUUGGAGGGGGGACUGGAAUUCUCGGUGUAGCAGUGAAAUGCGUAGAUAUCGAGAGGAACACCAGUGGCGAAGGCGAGUCUCUGGACGACUCCUGACACUGAGGCACGAAAGCUAGGGGAGCAAACAGG